AUUCGAUUUUUCAGCCGCCGCGGUCAUACGUAGGGUGCAAGCAUUAUCCGGAGUGACUGGGCGUAAAGAGUUGCGUAGGUGGUCAGUAAAGCGAAUAGUGAAAUCUGGUGGCUCAACCAUACAGACUAUUAUUCGAACUCACUGACUCGAGAGUGGUAGAGGUAACUGGAAUUUCUUGGGUAGGAGUGAAAUCCGUAGAUAUAAGAAGGAACACCAAUGGGGUAGGGAGGUUACUGGACCAUUUCUGACACUAAGGGACGAAAGCGUGGGGAGCGAACCGGAUUAGAUACCCGGGUAGUCCACGCCGUAAACGAUGGAUAYUAGCUGUUGGAGGUAUCGACCCCUUCAGUAGCGAAGCUAACGCGUUAAGUAUCCCGCCUGGGGAGUACGGUCGGAAGACUAAAACAUAAAGGAAUUGACGGGGAUCAGCACAAGCGGUGGAUCGUGUUCUUUAAUUCGAUGAUAAACGAAGAACCUUACCAGGGCUUGACAUCCAGGGAAGCACUACGAAAGUAGAGUGUGCCUUUUGGAACCCUGUGACAGGUGUUGCAUGGCCGUCGUCAGCUCGUGUCGUGAGAUGUUUGGUUAAGUCCAUCAACGAGCGCAACCCUUGUGAAUAGUUGUAUUUUUCUAUUCAGACUGCUCUAGUAAUAGGGAGGAAGGAGGGGAUGAUGUCAGGUCAGUAUUACCCUUACGUCCUGGGCUAGAAACACGAUACAGUGCCAAGUACAAUGCCCAGCGAACCACCAAUGUGGACCAAAUCCCAUCAAAGCUUGUCCCAGUUCGGAUAAAAGGCUGAAACUCCCCUCUUUGAACCCGGAAUCGCUAGUAAUCCCAGGUCACCAAACUGCGGUGAAUACGUCACUGAUCUUGUACACACCGCCCGUCAAAC
rnacentral:rRNA from 1 species